rnacentral:rRNA from 1 species
UUAAGUUAUUAAGGGCGCACGGUGGAUGCCUUGGCACUAGAAGCCGAUGAAGGACGUUACUAACGACGAUAUGCUUUGGGGAGCUGUAAGUAAGCUUUGAUCCAGAGAUUUCCGAAUGGGGAAACCCAGCAUGAGUUAUGUCAUGUUAUCGAUAUGUGAAUACAUAGCAUAUCAGAAGGCACACCCGGAGAACUGAAACAUCUUAGUACCCGGAGGAAGAGAAAGAAAAUUCGAUUCCCUUAGUAGCGGCGAGCGAAAUGGGAAGAGCCCAAACCAACAAGCUUGCUUGUUGGGGUUGUAGGACACUCUAUACGGAGUUACAAAGGACGACAUUAGACGAAUCAUCUGGAAAGAUGAAUCAAAGAAGGUAAUAAUCCUGUAGUCGAAAAUGUUGUCUCUCUUGAGUGGAUCCUGAGUACGACGGAGCACGUGAAAUUCCGUCGGAAUCUGGGAGGACCAUCUCCUAAGGCUAAAUACUCUCUAGUGACCGAUAGUGAACCAGUACCGUGAGGGAAAGGUGAAAAGCACCCCGGAAGGGGAGUGAAAUAGAACCUGAAACCGUGUGCUUACAAGUAGUCAGAGCCCGUUAAUGGGUGAUGGCGUGCCUUUUGUAGAAUGAACCGGCGAGUUACGAUUUGAUGCAAGGUUAAGCAGUAAAUGUGGAGCCGUAGCGAAAGCGAGUCUGAAUAGGGCGUUUAGUAUUUGGUCGUAGACCCGAAACCAGGUGAUCUACCCUUGGUCAGGUUGAAGUUCAGGUAACACUGAAUGGAGGACCGAACCGACUUACGUUGAAAAGUGAGCGGAUGAACUGAGGGUAGCGGAGAAAUUCCAAUCGAACCUGGAGAUAGCUGGUUCUCUCCGAAAUAGCUUUAGGGCUAGCCUCAAGUGAUGAUUAUUGGAGGUAGAGCACUGUUUGGACGAGGGGCCCCUCUCGGGUUACCGAAUUCAGACAAACUCCGAAUGCCAAUUAAUUUAACUUGGGAGUCAGAACAUGGGUGAUAAGGUCCGUGUUCGAAAGGGAAACAGCCCAGACCACCAGCUAAGGUCCCAAAAUAUAUGUUAAGUGGAAAAGGAUGUGGCGUUGCCCAGACAACUAGGAUGUUGGCUUAGAAGCAGCCAUCAUUUAAAGAGUGCGUAAUAGCUCACUAGUCGAGUGACACUGCGCCGAAAAUGUACCGGGGCUAAACAUAUUACCGAAGCUGUGGAUUGUCCUUUGGACAAUGGUAGGAGAGCGUUCUAAGGGCGUUGAAGCAUGAUCGUAAGGACAUGUGGAGCGCUUAGAAGUGAGAAUGCCGGUGUGAGUAGCGAAAGACGGGUGAGAAUCCCGUCCACCGAUUGACUAAGGUUUCCAGAGGAAGGCUCGUCCGCUCUGGGUUAGUCGGGUCCUAAGCUGAGGCCGACAGGCGUAGGCGAUGGAUAACAGGUUGAUAUUCCUGUACCACCUAUAAUCGUUUUAAUCGAUGGGGGGACGCAGUAGGAUAGGCGAAGCGUGCGAUUGGAUUGCACGUCUAAGCAGUAAGGCUGAGUAUUAGGCAAAUCCGGUACUCGUUAAGGCUGAGCUGUGAUGGGGAGAAGACAUUGUGUCUUCGAGUCGUUGAUUUCACACUGCCGAGAAAAGCCUCUAGAUAGAAAAUAGGUGCCCGUACCGCAAACCGACACAGGUAGUCAAGAUGAGAAUUCUAAGGUGAGCGAGCGAACUCUCGUUAAGGAACUCGGCAAAAUGACCCCGUAACUUCGGGAGAAGGGGUGCUCUUUAGGGUUAACGCCCAGAAGAGCCGCAGUGAAUAGGCCCAAGCGACUGUUUAUCAAAAACACAGGUCUCUGCUAAACCGUAAGGUGAUGUAUAGGGGCUGACGCCUGCCCGGUGCUGGAAGGUUAAGAGGAGUGGUUAGCUUCUGCGAAGCUACGAAUCGAAGCCCCAGUAAACGGCGGCCGUAACUAUAACGGUCCUAAGGUAGCGAAAUUCCUUGUCGGGUAAGUUCCGACCCGCACGAAAGGCGUAACGAUUUGGGCACUGUCUCAACGAGAGACUCGGUGAAAUCAUAGUACCUGUGAAGAUGCAGGUUACCCGCGACAGGACGGAAAGACCCCGUGGAGCUUUACUGUAGCCUGAUAUUGAAAUUCGGCACAGCUUGUACAGGAUAGGUAGGAGCCUUUGAAACGUGAGCGCUAGCUUACGUGGAGGCGCUGGUGGGAUACUACCCUAGCUGUGUUGGCUUUCUAACCCGCACCACUUAUCGUGGUGGGAGACAGUGUCAGGCGGGCAGUUUGACUGGGGCGGUCGCCUCCUAAAAGGUAACGGAGGCGCUCAAAGGUUCCCUCAGAAUGGUUGGAAAUCAUUCAUAGAGUGUAAAGGCAUAAGGGAGCUUGACUGCGAGACCUACAAGUCGAGCAGGGUCGAAAGACGGACUUAGUGAUCCGGUGGUUCCGCAUGGAAGGGCCAUCGCUCAACGGAUAAAAGCUACCCCGGGGAUAACAGGCUUAUCUCCCCCAAGAGUUCACAUCGACGGGGAGGUUUGGCACCUCGAUGUCGGCUCAUCGCAUCCUGGGGCUGUAGUCGGUCCCAAGGGUUGGGCUGUUCGCCCAUUAAAGCGGUACGCGAGCUGGGUUCAGAACGUCGUGAGACAGUUCGGUCCCUAUCCGUCGUGGGCGUAGGAAAUUUGAGAGGAGCUGUCCUUAGUACGAGAGGACCGGGAUGGACAUACCUCUGGUGUACCAGUUGUCGUGCCAACGGCAUAGCUGGGUAGCUAUGUGUGGACGGGAUAAGUGCUGAAAGCAUCUAAGCAUGAAGCCCCCCUCAAAAUGAGAUUUCCCAACUUCGGUUAUAAGAUCCCUCAAAGAUGAUGAGGUUAAUAGGUUCGAGGUGGAAGCAUGGUGACAUGUGGAGCUGACGAAUACUAAUCGAUCGAAGACUUAAUCAA